rnacentral:lncRNA from 1 species
CUCUCAAAGUGUUGGGAUUACAGGUGUAAACCACUGCGCCCGGCUCAGAUUUUCUUUAAGAUAUGUAUCCCAGGUGGGAGGAGGCUGGUCAGGCGCAGGUUCCUAAAGCCAGGACUUUUUAAGUUGAGACCUGAAGGACAAGUGGCAAUUGGCCAGCUGAAUCAACAUUUCUUCAUAAGAUGAAAGAAUUAUACAGAUGAGCUUAACGCUUCUUUUAAGGCUUAAUCUAGCUACACUCCUGUAAUUUUUUCCAGGUAUCCCCAACACCCAGUGUGCUGCGAGGCACCUAAAAGUCGCUCCAUAGAUGCUUAUGAACUGAAGGAAUGGAUGUGCGAUGGAAUCCAAAGAUGAAACUAAAAGCACCUACAUGUGAUUGGGCCCACUCCAUUACCAGCUAUCUGGCCAUGGUCGGGAGGGAAUCAUCUGCAACUUCUUGGACCUUCUCACCCCUGCUCCAGCUUCCUUUGACUACAAUCUGAAUUCCCAUCUAGGUGAGGAGCCAUGGGUGACCAAAGAUCACAGCAGGUAGGCAAGGAAGACACAGAGCCAGAACAGCAUGUGACUCGGAAAUGAUCUAAGCUGCUGAAACUCAUAUCUCAAAUUCCUUAAAGGAGGUCUAGUUGGUGGGAAAGCGAGAGUGCCUGACAGGGAAUCCGUGUUGGUCGGGGACUCUGCCACCAGCAGUCUUGGGGAAUUCCUGGGUCAUGUGGUCGGAUGUGUGGAUGUGCUGAGAUAUCUGGGCUGAGCUAAGCUACUCUCAAUCCUGCCUGCCCCACUAUUGACUCCUGGAAGGGAGACGCCUACCCCCCAGCCCCAAGUCCCAUGGCUGAUCCAUGUCUGAGGGGGUCAUGGGGGAAAGCUGUUUAUUGGAUCUACUAUGUGCUGUGCUGGGAAAACAAGUGGGAACAAAUGUCUGUCCUUGUCCUUACACACUUCACAAUUUGUGUGUGUGUCUGUAGGGGAGUGGAGGUGGGUCCAGACUGGUAAAAGGGGAUUUGAAAGCAGCUCAGUGUGUGGACUGCUGUGAUGUGUCCUGGUGGGAGCAGGGUGCAGGUAGGAGCAGAGGUGAGAGGCACCAAGGCCAUGCCAUGGGGGUCACGUGAGGGUUGGGAGCAGGUAAGGCAGAUCUCAGAUACCUCUAAGAUGAGUCUUGAGCCCUGAGGAUGAAUUACAGCCUGUAGUAUUCCCUACCUCCCCUCCAAGAAAGGGAUGCAAAUCCUGUUAGUCGCUGGCAAAUUGGGAAGCCUAGCUCAAAGCUGCCCUCUUCUGACCAAACUAAGCCUAGCAUGUUUUAUGGGAUGCCCAAAGCUGUGACCACAAGCAGAAGUCGGCUUAGGCAAUUUGUUCCUCCAGUAAACCGUUCAUUUGUUCAUUCAUUCAUUCAUUCAACAAAUAUGGACUGAGUAAUUGCAAUAACAGCUAUAAUGAUAUCUAACAUUUAUUAAGCCAGCCCUGGUUCUAAAUUCUAAAUUCUAGUAUGUCUUGCCGGAAGUUUGGAGAAUUUGUGCCGCAAACACUGAAAACAGCCCUCAAACUCUCAAUUACCCUGAGAAACCGAAUGUUAUUCACAGACCAGGCCUGGGAGGGGAUGUGACUGAAGGAGAAGCUAGCUCUUCUCCCCAAGCCAAAGAGCUUGCCCUGUCUCCAUCCUGGAAUGGGAGGGAGAGCACACGCAGAGAGACAGGACGCAGGCGUGCCGGGGUCCAGCUCCACUUCCACCACCAACCCACACCAUGCCAUGGCCAAGGACUUUCUCUUUUAGGGGUGGUUCCUUAUCUGUAAAAGGAGAUUUGGAUAAACCAACUCUCAGUUUUGUUUCAAAUCUGCUUUAACUUCUCUGCAAUAUCUAAGCA